rnacentral:rRNA from 1 species
GACCGCGACCCCAGGUCAGGCGGGACUACCCGCUGAGUUUAAGCAU